rnacentral:rRNA from 1 species
CCGGGAUGUUCAUAACCCUUUGUUGUCCGACUCUGUUACCUCCGGGGCGACCCUGCCUUCGGGCGGGGGCUCCGGGUGGACACUUCAAACUCUUGCGUAACUUUGCAGUCUGAGUAAACUUAAUUAAUAAAUUAAAACUUUUAACAACGGAUCUCUUGGUUCUGGCAUCGAUGAAGAACGCAGCGAAAUGCGAUAAGUAAUGUGAAUUGCAGAAUUCAGUGAAUCAUCGAAUCUUUGAACGCACAUUGCGCCCCCUGGUAUUCCGGGGGGCAUGCCUGUUCGAGCGUCAUUUCACCACUCAAGCCUCGCUUGGUAUUGGGCAACGCGGUCCGCCGCGUGCCUCAAAUCGACCGGCUGGGUCUUCUGUCCCCUAAGCGUUGUGGAAACUAUUCGCUAAAGGGUGUUCGGGAGGCUACGCCGUAAAACAACCCCAUUUCUAAGGUUGACCUCGGAUCAGGUAGGGAUACCCGCUGAACUUAAGCAUAUCAAUAAGCGGAGGAAAC